rnacentral:tmRNA from 1 species
GGGGCUGACUUGGAUUUCGACAGAUUUCUUGUCGCACAGAUAGCAUGCCAAGCGCUGCUUGUAAAACAGCAACAAAAAUAACUGUAAACAACGCAGAUUACGCUCCAGCUUACGCUAAAGCUGCGUGAGUUAAUCUCCUUUUGGAGCUGGACUGAUUAGAAUUUCUAGCGUUUUAAUCACUCCAUAACCUUAAGCUAGACGCUUUUAAAAGGUGGUUCGCCUUUUAAACUAAGAAACAAGAACUCUUGAAACUACCUCAAGGUUUUAGAAAGUUGGACCAGAGCUAGUUUUAAGGCUAAAAACUAACCAAUUUUCUAAGCAUUGUAGAAGUUUGUGUUUAGGGCAAGAUUUUUGGACUGGGGUUCGAUUCCCCACAGCUCCACCA